rnacentral:rRNA from 1 species
AAACCGCUUAGGGGUUAAGCCCGAUGAACCUGAAUAUCUGAAUUGAGAAAUUCAAUAUUAUGUUUGUGAUUACAUAUUACUUUUAAUUACAAACUGAUAUGCACUUUUCUCAUAGUAAGACAUUGCGAUCCAUUAGUAUUUGCUAUUAAUAUGCAAUUUAAUUUAUCAAAAGGCCCGUACGUUAUAAGCUUGUUCUAGCUGUAAUAGUUCUCGUAAUUAUUAUAUGAACAAAUUCGUUGCGGUGACCUGAUAAAUAGCUGAUGGAGCUUAAUAAUCAUGCAAACAUACAUCCAUGUAUCACGGUUUAAAUAUAUUUAAUUAUAUAUUUAAAUGCAGAGAUGGCAUGUAUUUGAUUAGCAAUGCGAUAGAUUUGGGAUACCUUCGGGACCCGUCUUGAAACACGGACCAAGAAGUCUAACAUGUGUGCAAGUCAUUGGGUAUAAAUUUGUUGAAACCUAAAGGCGAAAUUAAAAUAACUAUAAUGGGAUUACAAGUAAUUUUUUUUUAUGAAAAAUUGCUUCUCCAUCCCGGGGCGUUCUAUACGAACAUGAUUUAAGCAAUUAGAUCCUCUGUUCAAGAGCGUACCUUGAGCA